CCUGGGGUGGCUCAGUGGUUGAGCAUCUGCCUUCUGCUCAGAGCCUGAUCCCGGGGUCUUGGGAUCGAGUCCCACUUUGGGA
rnacentral:tRNA from 1 species